AUUCAAUUGUGUUUAGCUAUGCA
rnacentral:misc_RNA from 1 species